GACAUCGACCCCCGAGCUUCGGACACUUUUCCACAUCAUAACCUACACCGAGCCCCUCAACAUCCUCAAACCAAAACGCAUAUAAGCCGAGACUUCACCCAGCUCGGCCAGUUCUUGUUCUAGUUCCUGUUCUUGUACAGCCCCCCUUUCUCCGGUUCAGUGUCAUUCUAUUCUUUCUUCUUCUCUCUUACAAUCCAAGUGUCAAUUUUACGUUACA
rnacentral:misc_RNA from 1 species